UCUUUCUCCAGUUUUCCUUCCAAGCAAGCCCAGAACCAUCUCUUUAUCUGCAACCCCUUUCGAAGUGCCUUGGUGAUGGGUGAGCUAUGGCCAUGUUGCAGACAAGAUGGUAUUCCCUUGACUUUUAAUUCCAAGCACUCUGAGGAGAUUCUUUAGAAAUUCUCCUUGGGCCCUGGGGGCUUUUUUCUUCAUUUGCUUUAUGUGGUCUGAUUUCUGCUAGGUUUAAAUCAUCUUUUAAUGCUGACUCAUUCACUCAAUGAGCAUAACUCCAAAAUUCAAGACUUUCCAUGGCCCAGCUUCCCAGGAUCUGUCUCAGAUGGUGGCUUCAAGGGAAUGGUGUAUCCAUUCCAUUCUCCCAGGCACUGGGUCAGGAUGUCCUGUGUGACUAUCACUGGAUGGGGCGGUAGAAAUGUUUAUGGCACUGAGUUCUCUCCAGUACCUCACCUGAAUGCUGAUGCCUUGGUCUACUUGUGGAUGGUACUAAUUGCCAUUAGGACUUUGGCUAAAAAUUGCCCUGGUGGGAAAGGGGCAGGAAGAACAAUGUUGUCACCCUUGGAGGACCUCAGGUAGGAGGGAGGAGAUCUAAGGGGACUGAGUUGUAUUAAGCAUCUUCUGCAAGCCAGGAACAGAGCCAAGUGAACUAGGGCUCUGUCAUACAUGAUCUCAGGUUCUUACAACAAGCUUUUGGGUUACACUUCACCUCCUAUUCCCAAUUAACAGACAGGAAGACCAUGAUUUAAAAAGGUCAGGCAUCAGUAAGUGGAUAAGAAUCCAGGGAAGUGCAUCGAAUUAUGUACCUUCCACCACACCACAUGGACCCCUGUGGAAAGGAGGACUCAGGAGAAGAGAAGGUGACCUCAGUGCCCCAAGUCCCACUGCCCAGCCCCGGUGUGGGUGUCUGAAGCACCAAGCUUUGCAUAGCAAGAGAAAAUGAGAAGGCUGAAAGAGGCCACUUGCAGAUGCUUUACUAAAGCAAGCUGUAGUGCAGCGAGAGUGAGCCUGAGAGUGUGGGAAGACAAGCAGGCCUCCAGCCUCCCAGGGUUCUACCAAACUGUUCUUGCCAUCAGGAAAGGUUGGUGGGGGUGGCGGUACUGUUUUGGUCUUCAGAGCAGGGCACAUGUCCUUUCAGAGUGUCUUUCCUGCUCACAGUGACCAGUUCUCUGGGUGCUGAGCCUUAUACCACCUACUUCCAGAAAAGGGCCCCUGGCAGAUGUAACUUCACACACAACCCCAUCUCCCUGACUACCCCAGAUGUGUGCAUCCAGGGGAACACAGAAACCAGGCUGGACCAAGUAGUGCUUGGGUGAAUUUGGCUGGUCCUGUGAAGAGAGGAAAUAUAAGCUUAGGAGUUAGGCAAUGGCCAUGUUCGACCCCCACAUACACAGAGCAUCAAGGAGAGGGGUUGGUGGAAAGAAGCAGAGGCCAGUGAGACAGAUGGGGAGGAGCUUCCUGCCUUCUUGGAACCUUCUAGGCCUGGUUCCCAUCUCUCUCAUGGCCCAAUUGUUGGAUUUUUUCUUGGAUUCCAACAAAGCGCCCAACUUCUUCCCAGUAUGUUUCCUAGGCUUGUUCAUUUGACCUGGGCUUCUGGCACUUUCCACCAAAAGUGUCCUGAUGAUUCCAGGUGAGGAGGAGCUAUCCUUUUGAAAGCCUAGACUUUUACUCCUCAAGGAGCCUCCCCAAGGAUUUCAGAGAGGCUGGGGAUGGAUGGGACCAUCCUUCUUCUAUCUGGUUGAGGUUGAGAUUCUCAUUCCGACUGUAGGUGAAAUGACAGAGUGAAACUCCAGGGACAUUCAUCACAAUAAUUAAGCCCUAUCAGAAUCAGGCAGGAGUCACACUCUAAUAACAGAACCUUUCAAUGUCAACUCCAAGGACUCAUAUACAGCUUUUGGGUGUAAUUCAUCUGCUGAGACUAUUCUGUGUUACCCCACUAAUCUGUGUCUCAAUAAUGACUCAGGACUCAUGUUGACCUUGAUGUCACACAAAGGUUUUCAUCACACCGCCCUCCCAAAGAGAGCAAGGAUGGCAGGUGGGGCCCUGUCAUCACACUUGUUUCCUUCCACAACUUGACUCGAGUAUUUAAAGCCUUUCUGUUUUAUCUUUGGCCAGUUUCCACAGUCCUUCCUGGGAUCUUUCCUCUGGAUUCAGGGAACCCAUUGUCUCUGGUGCCAGCUCUGCCAAGCCCUCCAGUGGGACAGCGUGACACAUCUCACCUUCCUUCUACAGGCAUCCGCUCCCCAAGGCCCCACUACUGGCACCAUGUUCCCAGCAAGGAGACAGGCACACCAGCCUUCACUUGACUUCAUGGGGCGGGGGCCCUCCCAGGAGCUCUGAGCCCCCAGUACUGUCAGACCUCUGCUGCAUGCAGGGGGGAGACCUAGGGAAGAUAAUGAUGCCAAAAACCCAAGGAUCAGGGAGUGGGAGUGAGGGCGGGUUGUUCUGUGUCACCCCCUCCUGCCCUCUUUUCUAGAGCAGUGAUCAAGGGGGUACAUACAUUGCUGGCUGCAGCAAAGAGCCUCCCCCCCUCGCUUCCUGCUAGGCCCCAGAGGUGGCCAUGGGGUAAAUGGUCCCCAGCAGUGUGAGCACCAGGGUUGCAGAUCAGGACCCACUUACCCUGCUCGUGCUGUGACCAGAGGCCUGAAGACCACCCUGGGUUCAGUGUGUGUAACUUCAAAGCAGCGACUUUGCCUUUUAUUGGAAGCCCCACGCAAAUCACAAGCCUCCAAGGCAUUUAUUAAGUGCCCGUGUCUCCUUCGUCUAUGUUGACACCUGACCAAAGAGUUACAUUUAAAAAUUUCACUGACUGACUUAUACCCUGCCCCAUUUCCAAAGCAGAUGACAAUACAACCCCAGGUACAAGUAAGGCCAGGAACAUUUACCCAAGACAAAGGAGGGAAACAAAGGCAGAGAAUUAUGCCCAGCCUCAGCCUUUCAGGAAGGUAAAAAUCUAAGGCUUCAUUCUCUGGAUGUCUUUAAACUUCGCCAAGAUGUAAGGGCUACUUUUAUUUCGUUCUGCAAAACUCCUCCAACCCCAUCAGAAAGGCAGUACCCCCUUGUGGCCAAGUUUUAGUCCCAUUUAGAGGAAUGUUGCAGGGUGGCUGGCCACUGCAGGGGGCCAGGCAGGCAGGGUGUCUGUCACCGGCCAGCGGUCCCUGCCCUUCUGGCCACCGCUGCCAAAAGCUUGGGUAGGUUUGUGUUUCCCAGCUGAGCCUCCACGCUGCCGAUGGCCUUCCAAGUUGUGCCCUGGCCUGGUUUGUGGUGCAUCCUCAUUUCACUAAUGGAAAUGAAGGUAACAGCAGUCUCCUCCCGCCUCCGUCCAGUUGUGGCCUUUCCUAAGAGGACAAACCUGCUGAAGGACACAGAGACCAUGUCACCCACAAGAGGUCCACACCAGAAGAGGAGAGAGCCCCAUUCUGCUGACUCCUUCCGAAAGCCUGGGACCCUGUGCACAGUAGCCUUUGGAAGACAGGCGAGCUGGCUCUACCUGUCUUGCAGAUUCAGAAUCUAGGUCAUUCUGCUCCCUCCCCUCCUCCUCUGGAAGACAAGCCAGAUUUCUCCUAGGGUCUCAGAAGGAGAGAGGGGACGGCAGGAGAAAAUGUUUUAGCGGGACCCACACCCUGCCUGCUGCUGUCAGGAACAUUUCAUUUUGAAGCCAAUAUAAUUUAUGAGAUGCAAAUGGAUUUAGCAUUAAAAAAGAAAAAAGAGAAAGAAAGACUUGGAAAAGGUACAAAGUGCACCUCACACCCUUGUGCUGAGGCUUGUUUGGGGCUCCAUUAAUCAUCUCAGACAAAAGAGAUUUCAUCUGCGGCUAGGCAAUCUGGGAGCCCCCCUGGGGGCCAGCUGAGAGCAGCGGGCACUGACUGCAGGCCUGGCCUCUGAGCGGCUCCGGCCUCCGCUGCCCAGCACUUGUGCUGAGCUCUGGUCUGAGUCACGCACUAGAUGAAAUUACAGAGGUUUCUGCACAUGAUGAAUCAGAAAGCAGGAUCAAGCCAAAUAUUUGGACAAGCCUUGCCCCGCGUGGAGCAGGAGGGAGAUGGAGCCGCCAGCCAGAAGCCUGCCAGCAGCCUUCCCAGAGAUGGCUUCUGACAAAGUGCCGCCGUGGGGCAGGCUACUGCCUAGAAGGGUGUUAGCUCCAUCCAUUAGGGCAGCCUGCAGCUGGAUCUCUCAGCCAGGUCAGCUCUACAAAAGGGGCCUCUGAGCAUCCCAGGGCCCUGAGCCCUGAUUCAGCCUCACCCUUGGAGAAGGGGGGCUUGUGCGAGUGCGGCGUGCAGGGUGGGGGAGGAGAUGGUUUGCUUUGAGUCACCCCAUCCGCCUUCUUUUUUAGGAGUCAUCGGGGCCAGGGCGGCAGGCAGCGUUUCCUGCAGCAGUGAGCUGGGGCGACCACGCGUCCUCCCACCGCUCCUGCCUGGGCCAGGGUGGGGACGCAGGCAGACACGGUGGCUGCAGAAUGGGGAAGGAAGUGGAGCCCUGUGCCCUGUGCCAAAGAUUUGCUGCUGUGAGGACCUUCAGGAGAGGCUAAUUGCCAUCCUUUAGAGCUUCAAAGCCAAGAGUUUUCAAAGCUGUUCAGAACAGCAACAAAAGCCCAGUAAUAACAAUGCUACCUGAGGUUUGUCUGGAAUCUUUAUUAAUCUUUAAAUUUAACUUUUGAAAGAUAUCAGUAUUCUUGGGGUUAUUUUAAGCUACAUUUUCCCUUUGCUGGGAAGCCCUCAGGAACUAAACCAACUAGUCUGCCUUGGGAAGAAAAGACAAAGCUAUGCAAGCAGAAUGUUGAUGUUGAUGAAUGACAGUGGUAGCGCCCAGCCCUAUGAUCCUGGUGAGAAUGUCCUGGGUGAGCCUCGUGGGAACCCCUACAAGGUGGCUGCUA